rnacentral:rRNA from 1 species
UACGUAGGGUGCGAGCGUUAAUCGGAAUUACUGGGCGUAAAGCGUGCGCAGGCGGUUUGUUAAGCCAGAUGUGAAAGCCCCGGGCUCAACCUGGGAACUGCGUUUGGUACUGGCAAGCUAGAGUACGGCAGAGGGGGGUGGAAUUCCACGUGUAGCAGUGAAAUGCGUAGAGAUGUGGAGGAACACCGAUGGCGAAGGCAGCCCCCUGGGUUAACACUGACGCUCAGGCACGAAAGCGUGGGGAGCAAACAGG